GUGCACCAGGCGAGAAACCUCCGCAAUACACGAAAGUGUGACGGGGCCAUCCCGAGUGCCGUCCGCUGAGGACGGCUUUUCCCCAGUGUACAUAGCUGGGGGAAUAAGGAGAGGGCAAGCCUGGUGUCAGCCGCCGCGGUAAUACCGAGCUCUCCGAGUGGUGGGACGCUAUUGGCCUAAAGCAUCCGUAGCCGGCUGGGCAAGUCCUCCGUUAAAAUCCAACGAGUCAAUCGUUGGGCUGCGGGGGAUAC
rnacentral:rRNA from 1 species